GAAACCUGAGACGCAGAAACUAGAGUGAAAAUAAUCCGUUGUUAAUCCAGCGAUCUGAACGAAUCUUCAAAAUCUGUGCUUGAUCGUAAUCCAUUGCAGUCAUUUUCCGUUGACGAAGGGCCGGAAUGGAAGUUUCGGCAAGUUCCCGGACAGCUGAAGACGAACAUGUAUUCUCCAAUGUUCGCAAGGACUAGACACAAACCAGAACCAGGGAGAGAAGGCGAAUCAGACGAAUCCGAUGUUUUCUUCUGUGUUCAUUGUUGAAGAUCCAAUAGUAAACAAUAACAACUCUCGUGAGGUUA